GGGCGGGGCGGAGGUGGAGCCUGCGUGCGCCCGGCCCCGCCCACCCGGCCGGCCGGAACGAAGAUGGCCGGUCGCGCGCGGAAAUGGAGGGGCCGGCGGCACCGGCGGCAGUGGCGGCAGUGGCGGUGGCUCGGAGGCUGUGACUUGGCGCGCGGCGGCGACCCGGACGACCCGGAGGGCGCGGGUUCCUUGUCCGGCCGACUCAGCCCGGUUUCCUUCCAAAGCCUGGUGCCAGACGGGCAGUUUAGGGGUUCUCAGCCCUUUUGGAGUUGGGAGAGCCUGUUCCCAAACUCUGUUGGUUGCUCUUUAGCGCCGUAAGAGUCAAGAAAUCUGGGGCAAGUUGGCAAGAGCUCGCCUGCGUCUGGUGACUCAAGGACUGAAGCUUCCUCCAUCUGCUGAGGCUGCCAUCAUGAUAUGUUAAACAAAGUCACUGGGUCAUGCCAGCCAUUCGUCCAGCCCUCCAUCUCCGAAUGGGCACCCUCUGCUCCAACACUGAAAGAUAAAGAAAAAUCUCACCAAUAGGGGGCUAAAGAACCCAAUGUGGUUAAUAUGUGAUUAUUACUCGAUACUGUCAUAGAAAAAUUAA